rnacentral:rRNA from 1 species
CUGGCUCAGGAUGAACGCUAGCUACAGGCUAACACAUGCAAGUCGAGGGCAUCAGGGCGAUAGCUGCUAUCGUGCUGGCGACCGGCGCACGGGUGAGUAACGCGUAUCCAACCUGGCCCCCAGUAGGGAAUAGCCCGGCGAAAGUCGGAUUAAUGCCCUAUGUUAUCCGAAGAGGACAUCUGAUUUGGAUUAAAGAUUUAUCGCUGGGGGAUGGGGAUGCGUCCGAUUAGGUAGUAGGCGGGGCAACGGCCCACCUAGCCGACGAUCGGUAGGGGUUCUGAGAGGAAGGUCCCCCACACUGGAACUGAGACACGGUCCAGACUCCUACGGGAGGCAGCAGUGAGGAAUAUUGGUCAAUGGGCGCAAGCCUGAACCAGCCAAGUAGCGUGCAGGAUGACGGCCCUACGGGUUGUAAACUGCUUUUGGAGGGGAAUAACAGGCACUACGUGUAGUGUUUUGCAUGUACCCUCAGAAUAAGGACCGGCUAAUUCCGUGCCAGCAGCCGC